rnacentral:rRNA from 1 species
AACGAACGCUGGCGGCGUGUCUUAAGCAUGCAAGUCGUGCGGCAAGGGGUAGCAAUACCCCCUAGAGCGGCGGACUGGUGAGUAACGCGUGGGUGAUCUGCCCUUGGGUUGGGGAUAGCCAUUAGAAAUAGUGGGUAAUACCGAAUACGUUCGCCGGGCUGUGGCCUGGCGAGGAAAAGCGCUUCGGCGCUGGCCGAGGAUGAGCCCGCGUCCCAUUAGCUAGUUGGUGAGGUAACGGCCCACCAAGGCGAUGAUGGGUAGCCGGCCUGAGAGGGUGUACGGCAACACUGGGACUGAGAUACGGCCCAGACUCCUACGGGAGGCAGCAGCUAAGAAUAUUCCGCAAUGGACGAAAGUCUGACGGAGCGACGCCGCGUGGACGAUGAAGGCCGAAAGGUUAUAAAGUCCUUUUGUCGGGGAAGAAUAACCAUGGGAGGGAAUGCCCGUGGGAUGACAUGAACCGACGAAUAAGCCCCGGCUAACCACGUGCCAGCCGCCGCAGUAA